CCACAGUUGAAUUAUUUCUAACGACAGCAUAAACCAACAUUUCUAAAUGGAAAGCCGUGUUUUACUCUGGUUAGGCGUGUUGAUACUUACUAGCUCAACAGAUUGUGAACAAAAAUUAAGCGACCGACUACUCAACCCAAAUGUGGUUGAGACUGGAGGAACUUUUACUGUGACAUGUGACGCGUCACGUGCUGGUGUUCCAACAACUGCUACAACAGUUCGGACGCUGGUGAUUGAGUGGUCAGAUGGUAUACAGGAACUUAAACCUUUAGCAAGAUACGGUUUAAAUGGUACUCAAUACGAGGCUAAGCCUAACACUGGAAGCAACUGGACAUUUCACUUUUCUGGACGUUUAGAGGGGACAUCAGCUCUACCAAACAACCGGCACACAAUGAGAAUAGAAAUGGUGGUCUAUGAUGCGACAUGUACAGUUGCGGGCUCGUAUUUCUGUACUGCCAUAUACAGUAACUCCAAUCAAAGUGAUUCAAUAACAACUAGCUACCAGAAUCUCACAU